rnacentral:rRNA from 1 species
AUGCAGGCCGCUGUUAGCGCGGCCAGCUGGCUCAUCGGCAAGGUGCUGAAUAAGCUCUCCGAUGAAUUGGUGGGCGCGUAUCUGCAACCCUGGCUUGCAGAGGUCCGAGCUCCGAGCUCCAAGCAGAUCCAGACCAAGUUGAAGUACAUGCAAGGGUUGCUGCACUUUGCCCAGGAGAGGGAUGUGAGCAGCAACCCUGGCUUGCAGAGCUUGCUUGGGGACCUGAGCCAGAAGGCUGAUGAGAUUGAGGACACCCUCGAUGAGCUCCACUACUUCAUGAGACAAGACCAGUUGUAUGGCACCCGGGAGGUUGCCCUGGAGCUGGGUGAUGGCCUCUGCGGUCAUGCCCUCCAUGGCAUCCAUGCUGCUAACCACACCAUUGGAGGGAUCAUGGUGCGUAAGGUCUGCAAUGUCUGCAAAAAUCCCUGUAGGGGUAGUUUAUCCCGUGCACUAGAAUUCGGGCUCUUCUUGAGGGAGGGAUUCGAAAAAUCUGUGUGUGUCCCAUGCAACGUAAGGGCCCAAUUCAAUAAUUUAAUCGGUGACAGUUUCAACUUUUCGGAUGGUCAAGGACAGUCGUACACAACUGACGUUUGUAAACAAAAGGAUAAAACCAUCAUAGGAGGUGAUGGAUGGAACAAGUAUAUUUUAAAUAAUAAGCUCACCGGGAGAGAGUACAUUGGCUUUUACUUGAAUAAAGCGGUCAACAAGUUAAGGAUUAAGUAUUUCUCUGACCAAGAUGAUGAGCUUGACGAAGAUGAUUAUGAGGAUUGCCAGGGCGAUGAGGAUGAUGACAGUGAUGAUGACAAUGAUAAUGAUGAGAGACAGGAUGAUGAUGAUGCUAGCCAGGAUGACGAUAGUCAAGAGCGCGAGGACGGGGAUGAGGAUGGGGAAGAUGAUGAGGGUAGCGGAGAUGAUGACAAUGAUGAUUCAUACAGUUCUGCAAUUUUUUCUCAAAGAAUGAAAGAGCUUACUGAGGAUGAGAAGAUCAAUCUCAUCGCGAUCCUACCAUCAAGAGUGCACUACUUGGGGAGGCCAUUUGUGCACCGUUUUACUAAGACCAACAUCGUGAAACACACCAUGAAAUUACCUAUGAAGAUGAUUUCUGGCGAGAACAUCCCUGCUACCGGCAUGGCUGGACUACGCCUUGGAGCAGCAUGUCGUGUCACCAGCGUUCAAUACAAGACGGACACAGACGGCCGCAUAUCGUUCUAUGAGGUCGGCUGGCGGGAAUUCCUGAAGGGAAAGAGGCGACUAGGGGUUGACACAGCAUUGGUCAUCACGAUAAGGAACAACAGGAAUAACAACUUCCAGAUGAUGGUCGUUAUAGACCUUAUUUAG